CAAAUGUCUUCCUGCCACAUUAAAGUUUAACAAGAUUAAACUCUAAACUCAAAGAAAGGUAAAGACAAUAGAAGAAGUUAGAGAAGAAUACCCAAGAGAGGUCAAUGGCCAAGGCGAGCAAGACUAGGCACAAUGGCUAUCCUGCUCUGCAAGCUGCCGGCUUUUUGCCGAGCUUCGGCAUCAGCCUCGGCGCCACC